rnacentral:misc_RNA from 1 species
GAAUUCAACAUCACCGCACGGCCCAGAUUUAUAGCCCUACCUAAGAGAACUGCUUCAGCCAAGAGCCGACAGUCGUGUCAAAAUAACAAGAAAAACUAAAGAAUUUUAUUGAAUUAUACAGUUAGAUUUUUUAACUGUUUAUGAGGGGAUAAAAUGAUGUGCACUUCUGAUCUAUGACACUUUCCUUAUUCUGAUGUGUUGCUUGAUUUUCCUCUGAAGAAUAAUUGUUUUUGAGUGAAAGAGAAAAGCAUUAACCUAUAUUGUUAUAUCUACUAGAGGACAUUAUUGAUUUAUAUUUGUAUAGAUAUGAAUGUAAAUAGAGACACUGUUGUUGGAAAUCAUUAGAAAUAAGCAUUUUCCUGAUGAAUGUGAUAUAUUUUGUAUUGAAGACAAGUUGUAAAAUUGUUGAACAAUUAUGAAUUCUACUCCGUCUGUUUUUUUCUGUUUGUAUGAUAUUUCAAUAAACGUGA